rnacentral:rRNA from 1 species
CCUACGGGAGGCAGCAGUGAGGAAUAUUGGUCAAUGGACGAGAGUCUGAACCAGCCAAGUAGCGUGAAGGAUGACUGCCCUAUGGGUUGUAAACUUCUUUUAUAAAGGAAUAAAACGAGGCACGUGUGCCUUUUUGCAUGUACUUUAUGAAUAAGGAUCGGCUAACUCCGUGCCAGCAGCCGCGGUAAUACGGAGGAUCCGAGCGUUAUCCGGAUUUAUUGGGUUUAAAGGGAGCGUAGAUGGGUUGUUAAGUCAGUUGUGAAAGUUUGCGGCUCAACCGUAAAAUUGCAGUUGAUACUGGCAGUCUUGAGUACAGUUGAGGUAGGCGGAAUUCGUGGUGUAGCGGUGAAAUGCUUAGAUAUCACGAAGAACCCCGAGUGCGAAGGCAGCUUACGAAACUGUGACUGACAUUGAUGCUCGAAAGUGUGGGUAUCAAACAGGAUUAGAUACCCGUGUAGUC